GGAGGUUGGCACGGCCACUGCGGGGCGCAAAGUUGGUCAAACUUGGUCAUUUAGAGGAAGUAAAAGUCGUAACAAGGUUUCCGUAGGUGAACCUGCGGAAGGAUCAUUACACAUGUCGGGGGCGCCAAGGAUGCGUCUCCGAAUCCUGAAUAUCUCCUGUGUACCAUGCCAUGUUGCUUCCCCAGGGUCACGGUCACUGUGCCGCCUGGGAGGAGGGCACAGUCCCAAAAACUACUGUCAUCCUACCAGCAGUCUGAGAAAGGGCCCAUCAGGCCUGACAAACUUAAACAGUUAAAACUUUCAACAACGGAUCUCUUGGCUCUCGCAUCGAUGAAGAACGCAGCGAAAUGCGAUAGGUAAUGUGAAUUGCAGAACUCAGUGAAUCAUCGAAUCUUUGAACGCACAUUGCGCCCUCUGGCAUUCCUCAGGGCAUGCCUGUUUGAGCGUCACUGAAAACCCACUCACGGAAUCACGUGGUGCUGAUGGAGGUGGCUUGGUACCGCAGCGGCGGUGGCCGGGUCCACCCUGUCGAAUUUCAUUGGGAGGAUGACGGACCCCCGGCUGCUGACUUUGUAGACAUCGCCUUGAAAUGCGUGCUAGUUGCCAGUCAGGCCCGGUCCUGCACGCUUGAGGAUCCCUGCCAUGGGAUCCACUGUCCAACUGGGUUGACCUCAGAUCAGGUAGGGAUACCCGCUGAACUUAAGCAUAUC
rnacentral:rRNA from 1 species